GAACUGCGAUAAGUAAUGUGAAUUGCAGAAUUCAGUGAAUCAUCGAGUCUUUGAACGCACAUUGCGCCCCCUGGCAUUCCGGGGGGCAUGCCUGUCCGAGCGUCAUUGCUGCCCUUCAAGCCCGGCUUGUGUGUUGGGUCGUCGUCCCCUCCGGGGGACGGGCCCGAAAGGCAGCGGCGGCACCGCGUCCGGUCCUCGAGCGUAUGGGGCUUUGUCACCCGCUCGAUAAGGACCGGCCGGGCGCCAGCCGGCGUCUCCAACCUUUUUUUCUCAGGUUGACCUCGGAUCAGGUAGGAAUACCCGCUGAACUUAAGC
rnacentral:misc_RNA from 1 species